rnacentral:sRNA from 12 species
UGACCAUUUCAUCGUGCCGGUACGGACGGGGAAAUUAGUGCCAUACGGACAGCCGGGUCAAAUGCCGA